CCUUCGGGAGGCAGCAGUGAGGCAUAUUGGUCAAUGGCCGGAGGGCUGAACCAGCCAAGCCGCGUGAAGGACGAAGGUGCCAAGCAUUGUAAACUUCUUUUGUCAAGGGCCAAAAUAAGGCUCGAGAGCCUGACCGAGGGUACUUGAAGAAAACGCAUCGGCUAACUCCGUGCCAGCAGCCGCGGUAAUACGGAGGAUGCGAGCGUUAUCCGGAUUUAUGGGGUUUAAAGGGUGCGUAGGCUGGCUGUUAAGUCCGAGGUAAAAGCCCGGGGCUCAACCCCGGCGAGGCGUUGAAACUGGCUGUCUUGAGAUGUCGAGAGGUAUGCGGAAUGCGCAGUUUAGCGGUGAAAUGCUUAG
rnacentral:rRNA from 1 species